rnacentral:tRNA from 1 species
GCGCGGUUAGCUCAGUGGUAGAGCACUACCUUGACACGGUAGGGGUCACAGGUUCAAACCCUGUACCGCGCA